GAUGAACGCUGGCGGCGUGCCUAAUACAUGCAAGUCGAACGCAUUGUGGUUGAAAUGAUAUGAAGAACUUGUUCAGAUUUGAUUUUCAACAUUGCAAUGAGUGGCGAACGGGUGAGUAACACGUGGGAAACCUACCUCUUAGCAGGGGAUAACAUUUGGAAACAAAUGCUAAUACCGUAUAAUAAUUAAAACCGCAUGGUUUUAGUUUAAAAGAUGGUCUUGCUAUCACUAAGAGAUGGUCCCGCGGUGUAUUAGUUAGUUGGUGAGGUAAUGGCUCACCAAGACAAUGAUACAUAGCCGAGUUGAGAGACUGACCGGCCACAAUGGGACUGAGACACGGCCCAUACUCCUACGGGAGGCAGCAGUAGGGAAUCUUCCACAAUGGACGAAAGUCUGAUGGAGCAACGCCGCGUGUGUGAUGAAGGGUUUCGGCUCGUAAAACACUGUUGUAAGAGAAGAAUGACAUUGAGAGUAACUGUUCAAUGUGUGACGGUAUCUUACCAGAAAGGAACGGCUAAAUACGUGCCAGCAGCCGCGGUAAUACGUAUGUUCCAAGCGUUAUCCGGAUUUAUUGGGCGUAAAGCGAGCGCAGACGGUUAUUUAAGUCUGAAGUGAAAGCCCUCGGCUCAACCGAGGAAUUGCUUUGGAAACUGGAUAACUUGAGUGCAGUAGAGGAAAGUGGAACUCCAUGUGUAGCGGUGAAAUGCGUAGAUAUAUGGAAGAACACCAGUGGCGAAGGCGGCUUUCUGGACUGUAACUGACGUUGAGGCUCGAAAGUGUGGGUAGCAAACAGGAUUAGAUACCCUGGUAGUCCACACUGUAAACGAUGAGUGCUAGUUGUUCGAGGGUUUCCGCCCUUGAGUGACGAA
rnacentral:rRNA from 1 species